rnacentral:rRNA from 1 species
CAGCAGCCGCGGUAAUACGAGGGGGGCAAGCGUUGUUCGGAAUUAUUGGGCGUAAAGGGUGCGUAGGCGGUUUGGCAAGUUUGGUGUGAAAUCUUCGGGCUCAACUCGAAGUCUGCAUCGAAAACUGCCGGGCUUGAGUAUGGGAGAGGUGAGUGGAAUUUCCGGUGUAGCGGUGAAAUGCGUAGAUAUCGGAAGGAACACCUGUGGCGAAAGCGGCUCACUGGACCAUAACUGACGCUGAUGCACGAAAGCUAGGGGAGCAAACAGGAUUAGAUACCCCCGUAGUCCCUGUCUCUUAUAA